rnacentral:rRNA from 1 species
GACGAACGCUGGCGGCGUGCUUAACACAUGCAAGUCGAACGGAGCGAAUGAAAGCUUGCUUUUAUAAGCUUAGUGGCAAACGGGUGAGUAACACGUAGACAACCUGCCGACAGGAUGGGGACAACAUUCCGAAAGGAAUGCUAAUACCGAAUGAAGCGGAGGAGAGGCAUCUCUCCUCUGUGAAAGAUGGCCUCUAUAUAUAAGCUAUCACCUGUCGAUGGGUCUGCGUCUGAUUAGCUGGUAGGUGAGGUAACGGCUCACCUAGGCGACGAUCAGUAGCCGGUCUGAGAGGAUGAACGGCCACAUUGGGACUGAGACACGGCCCAGACUCCUACGGGAGGCAGCAGUGGGGAAUCUUCCGCAAUGGGCGCAAGCCUGACGGAGCAACGCCGCGUGAGUGAAGAAGGUCUUCGGAUCGUAAAGCUCUGUUGAUGGGGACGAACGUGCCUAAUGCGAAUAGUAUUAGGUA